rnacentral:rRNA from 1 species
AGCAGCCGCGGUAAUUCCAGCUCCAAUAGCGUAUAUUAAAGUUGUUGCAGUUAAAAAGCUCGUAGUUGAAUUUCGGGAUCAAUAUGUCGGUCGUGCCUCGGUACGUACUGGCGUAAUUGGUUUCUCCCUUCUGAAGAACCUCGAUGUCAUUAAUUUGGUGUCGUGUGGAAUCAGGACUGUUACUUUGAAAAAAUUAGAGUGUUUAAAGCAGGCUCGCGCUUGAAUACAUUAGCAUGGAAUAAUGAAAUAGGACGUUUGAUUCUAUUUUGUUGGUUUCUAGGAUCGACGUAAUGAUUAAUAGGGAUAGUUGGGGGCAUUAGUAUUCAAUUGUCAGAGGUGAAAUUUUUGGAUUUAUUGAAGACUAACUACUGCGAAAGCAUUUGCCAAGGAUGUUUUCAUUAAUCAAGAACGAAAGUUAGGGGAUCGAAGACGAUCAGAUACCGUCGUAGUCUUAACCAUAAACUAUGCCGACUAGGGAUCGGAUGAUGUUAAUUUUUAAUGACUCAUUCGGCGCCUUACG